CCUACGGGUGGCUGCAGUAGGGAAUUUUGCGCAAUGGGGGAAACCCUGACGCAGCAACGCCGCGUGAUCGAUGAAGCCCUUCGGGGUGUAAAGAUCUGUCAGUGGGGACGAAACCUGACGGUACCCACAGAGGAAGCAUCGGCUAACUGCGUGCCAGCAGCCGCGGUAAUACGGGGGGUGCAAGCGUUGUCCGGAAUCAUUGGGCGUAAAGAGUUCGUAGGGGGCUCGUUAAGUCGGGGGUUAAAGGCCGACGCAUAACUUGCGUAGGGCCCUGGAAACUGGCGGGCUGGAAUGCGGGAGAGGUAAGGGGAAUGCGUGGUGUAGCGGUGAAAUGCGUAGAUAUCAGGAGGAACAUCGGUGGCGUAGGCGCUUUUCUGGGCCGUAAUUGACGCUGAGGAACGAAAGCCGGGGUAGCAAAUAGGAUUAGAUACCCUGGUAGUC
rnacentral:rRNA from 1 species